rnacentral:rRNA from 1 species
AGCGGCGAGUGAAGCGGCAAAAGCUCAAAUUUGAAAUCUGGCGUCUUUGGCGUCCGAGUUGUAAUUUGAAGAAGGUAUCUUUGGGCCCGGCUCUUGUCUAUGUUCCUUGGAACAGGACGUCACAGAGGGUGAGAAUCCCGUGCGAUGAGAUGACCCGGGUCUGUGUAAAGUUCCUUCGACGAGUCGAGUUGUUUGGGAAUGCAGCUCUAAGUGGGUGGUAAAUUCCAUCUAAAGCUAAAUAUUGGCGAGAGACCGAUAGCGAACAAGUACAGUGAUGGAAAGAUGAAAAGAACUUUGAAAAGAGAGUGAAAAAGUACGUGAAAUUGUUGAAAGGGAAGGGCUUGAGAUCAGACUUGGUAUUUUGCAUGUUGCUCUCUCGGGGGCGGCCGCUGCGGUUUACCGGGCCAGCAUCGGUUUGGAGCGGCAGGAUAAUGGCGGAGGAAUGUGGCACGGCUUCUGCUGUGUGUUAUAGCCUCUGACGAUACUGCCAGCCUAGACCGAGGACUGCGGUUUUUACCUAGGAUGUUGGCAUAAUGAUCUUAAGUCGCCCGUCUU